rnacentral:lncRNA from 1 species
UGGAGCACAGUGGCGCCAUCAUAGCUCACUUCAACCUCCGCCUACCGGGCUCGAGCAAUUCUCUCAGCUCAGCCUCAAGUGAUUCGCCUGCCUCAGCUACCCAAAGUGCUGGGAUGCCCUAGAGAUGUUUUCUUGUUAUCGCAACUGGGAGAGGGAAGUAUGUGCUUCUGGCAUCUAGCCAGGGAUGUUACUAAAUAUCCCGCAUUUCACAAUAACAAAUAAUUAGCCAGCCUAAAACAUCAACACUGCCAAAGUUGUAAAACUCUGUUAUAGAGGAAAGCAACAGAAAAUAAACUAGUAUAAACCAGUAAAUUGCCGGGGCCGGACACUGUGACUCAUGCCUGUUAUCCCAGCACUUUGGGAGGCUGAGGCGGGCGGAUCACGAGGUUAGGAGUUCAAGACCAGCCUGGCCAACAUGGUGAAACCCCAUCUCUACUAAAAAUACAAAAAUUAGCCAGGCGUGGUGGCACACACCUGCAGUCCCAGCUACUCUGGAGGCUGAGGCAAGAGAAUCGCUUGAACCUGGGAGGUGGAGGUUGCAGUGAGCUGUGAUCAUGUCACUGCACUCCAGCCUGGGAGACAGUGAGACUCUGUCUAAAAAAAAAAAAAAAAAAAAAGGAUAAUUAAAAACUAUUAAGAGUUAUGAGAAACAUGGUUUGGGGCCACUCUUUUAUAAGACUGUUUUCGUCACGCUGAUAAAAAUCUGUUAUCUGAAACAGUGUCAUUCACUGGUUUUUGUUAUUGCUGGUUCUAUUCCCUUUGUACCCGUAUACACUGAAAAAGUACAAAUCUCAAAUCCAGGUUGAGUAAGACAGUUUCUACCACCUUUGUGGACAUCUCACCUCCUUAUCCCUAUUGCAGCUAAGGUGUUACUUAGGAAAAGUACUUCUCCCUAGAGCUUUGUUGCUAAUUGCCAAAAAUGGGUGUGAUGUGGCCAAGUGGAGUUGCAGGUUUUCCUCCUGGAAUAUAUUUGUGAACAGGAUAGGUUUUCCUUUGACAAUGCUUUAAACAUAGCUGGUGCUGAAGGGGGGUGUGUGUGUGCGCAUGCGUAUGCACGUGGUCCAACCCUUUGAGCUUUGAAAUUAAAUAUUUAUUGGUUUCAAUCUCAUGAAGAAACUCCAAAGUCCUUUGGAAUCUCUCUCAAAUGAAUCAGGAUUGGAGGGUUGAGUUCUGGGGGGGAAAAGUUAUUGACUUCCUAAGAGUUUUUCUCUGUUGAAUUUACAGGAAACUGCUGGAAGGCGAGGAGACACGUUUUAGCACCAGUGGGUUAAGCAUUUCGGGGCUGAAUCCACUUCCCAAUCCAAGUUACCUGCUCCCACCUAGAAUCCUCAGUGCUACAACCUCCAAAGUCUCAUCCACUGGGCUAUCACUUAAGAAAGAGGAGGAGGAGGAGGAGGCAUCUAAGGUAGCCUCUAAGAAAACCUCCCAGAUAGGGGAAAGUUUUGAAGAAAUAUUAGAGGAGACAGUAAUAUCUACUAAGAAAACCGAGAAAUCAAAUAUAGAAGAAACCACCAUUUCAAGCCAAAAAAUAUAAUUCCAUUGCUUUGAAAAAGUUAAUGCUUAAGAGGGAAUGAUAUGCAUUUGACUUGUUAAACAGCCUAUUCCUGAACUAUAACACCUGCCACCACUAUAAAAUGUCUUCAAGGCUUCAGUCUCAUAUUUAGUAUUGAAUACUUACAUUCUCUAAUAAGAAAACCACCCCUUAGAUUGAAGUAAACUGCAGUCCUGGAGCAAUCACAGAUGAGUUAUCUAAGAAUACAGCUUUCUGACCUUCAGCUCACGCUUCACAGUGAUCGAUGAUUCAGGUGCAGAGGAAGUACAAACUAAGGUGCUAAAUCUGCGAUCAUCGUCAUUUGCUGUGAACUGAAAUUAAAACUAUUCAUGCUACCCAGCCAUUACCCAGCUAAAUAAUCUUACUCUAGAUACCUAAAACAUAAGAUCACUGCCAGAGAUAAACUAAUGGUCCACACCCAAUUCCACUCUGAUAGAAUUAUUUCACAAAUAAUAGGUGUUUGUUUAAUGGACACUUUUCACCUCCUUCAAUUCCAUAUAUCCUUUUCUUCUAUGUAGGAAAAAAAUAGUCUAGUGUAGUAUUCUUCCCUUUUAAACACAUUUUGGUUCUUCUCAAAAGAACUUACCCCCAUUCGCGCUCUGCUCAGUGGGUAAAAUUAGAUGCAUGUUGACCAUGUCUAUGAUUCGUGUAAUUACUUAUCCCUGCCCAUUUCAUAUUCUUUCAAUUCUGUAGGUUAAAAAAAUGGCAGUGAUGAAUUUUAAGGGUUUCCCCCAACAUAUAAAAUAAUGCAAAGAAUCCCUAGACUUUAGGCUUUCAGCUUACACAAAUCUAUUUAAUUAGGAAAAAAACUAUUAAGGAUGUAGCUUUUCACCUUUACUUUAGAAGCACAGUAAAUAUCCCAAACUGUGAUGAAGCCGACCUUAGAUUUAGUAGUGUAAGCUAGAAGAAGUGAGUGUUUCUAUGAGUGGAAAAAGCCAAGGUGUCAUUUAUGUGUCAGUUCAUUUGUGGUGAUAUAGAAUUAGCUUUUUCAUCCCCUUACCCUUAGAAUCCACGUAUUCCCCUUCCCACUAGCCUAGGUCAUAAAGAGGCGUUGCUUUCACUCUCCUAUGCCUUUUACGAGUGCUAAGUGUAGGAUAUUUUGUCACCAGAACACAAUGCUACCGCCCCAAAGUAAAAGAAACCACUUCUGGUCAAUCAACACUACCAGCGUAUAUAUAAGAAAGACAUCUUUCUCUUUUCUAAAAGACUUCCCUAACACUUACCCCAUGGCUGCACAGUUGGUGGGGUCCUGCCGGAGAGGAAGAGACACUCAGACCAGAGAAGGGGUGUGCAUGCGCCUACUCGCUUGCUAGAAGUAGAUUCUGGACAGUCAGCUCUUCAUCUGCCCAACUGUGUAGCAUCUGCAUUGCCCAGUCUUUCAUGUGUGCCAAGGCUGAUGCAGGAUUUGUUCUCUGUCCAGCAGUCACUUCGGCCAGAGCUGAAGAGUUGCCCCGUCUCUGUUCCAUGUCUCCUUUAAGAGCUCUGGUGAUAAGGACAUGAUGCUUUUACUGAACUUUCUUAUCCUAGCACAUGCUUCAAUAGUUCAAGGAACUUGAAAAAUACUUUUCCUUACCUUUACCCCAUCCCUGUCUUUACUCCUCACACUUACUGUAAGACAUUAGUAACAUAAUAAAUUAAAAGUCACACGAAUCUCACCAACAUAA